rnacentral:rRNA from 1 species
CCCUUAGAUGUUCUGGGCCGCACGCGCGCUACACUGACGAAUGCAACGAGCUUAUAACCUUGGCCGAAAGGUCUGGGUAAUCUCCAAAUUUCGUCGUGAUGGGGAUAGAUUAUUGCAAUUAUUAAUCUUCAACGAGGAAUGCCUAGUAAGCGCAAGUCAUCAGCUUGCGUUGAUUACGUCCCUGCCCUUUGUACGCACCGCCCGUCGCUCCUACCGAUUGAAUGGUCCGGUGAAGCGUUCGGACCGUGGCCUUUGGACGGUUCGCCGUCUGUUGGCUGCGGGAAGUUCGUUAAACCUUAUCAUUUAGAGGAAGGAGAAGUCGUANCA